AAGUCGUAACAAGGUUUCCGUAGGUGAACCUGCGGAAGGAUCAUUACCAAGUUUAAUCCAAAAACACUCAACCCAUGUGCACGAUGAUUUGUCUGUCUUUGGGGUGGAAGAAUCUAGGGUUAAUUUACAUUAGCCCUAGCUGAUUUCACCCCACAUGUGUAAACAUCCCAUUUUAUUUGUAUUGGCAUCUACUUGUCUUAAUAAAUAAUAGACAACUUUUAACGGUGGAUCUCUUGGCUCGUG
rnacentral:misc_RNA from 1 species